rnacentral:rRNA from 1 species
AGGGCUUGACAUGCUAGUGGUAUCCCGGUGGAAACACUGGGAGACCCCUUUGGGGAGCUAGCAC